GCCCAGUCAGUCUCUCUCUCUCUCCCUCUCUCUCUCUCUCUCUCUCUCUCUCUCUCACACACACACACACACAGAGAGAGAGAGAGAGAGAGAGAGAGAGAGAGAGAGAGCAGUUGGCCAG